GAUGAACGCUGGCGGCGUGCCUAAUACAUGCAAGUCGAGCGAACAGACGAGGAGCUUGCUCCUCUGACGUUAGCGGCGGACGGGUGAGUAACACGUGGAUAACCUACCUAUAAGACUGGGAUAACUUCGGGAAACCGGAGCUAAUACCGGAUAACAUGUUGAACCGCAUGGUUCAACAGUGAAAGACGGUCUUGCUGUCACUUAUAGAUGGAUCCGCGCCGCAUUAGCUAGUUGGUAAGGUAACGGCUUACCAAGGCAACGAUGCGUAGCCGACCUGAGAGGGUGAUCGGCCACACUGGAACUGAGACACGGUCCAGACUCCUACGGGAGGCAGCAGUAGGGAAUCGUCCGCAAUGGGCGAAAGCCUGACGGAGCAACGCCGCGUGAGUGAAGAAGGUCUUCGGAUCGUAAAACUCUGUUAUUAGGGAAGAACAAAUGUGUAAGUAACUAUGCACGUCUUGACGGUACCUAAUCAGAAAGCCACGGCUAACUACG
rnacentral:rRNA from 1 species